rnacentral:rRNA from 1 species
GCUAGUAAUCGCGGAUCAGCAUGCCGCGGUGAAUACGUUCCCGGGCCUUGUACACACCGCCCGUCACACCAUGGGAGUCGGUAACACCCGAAGCCUGUAGUCUAACCGCAAGGAGGACGCAGUCGAAGGUGGGAUUGAUGACUGGGGUGAAGUCGUAACAAGGUAUC